AUGCCUCCAGCCAAAGCCAAGAAACUCCGGCGGGCCGCGGCUGCGGCCGCCCCCCCAGAGAGCUCCCCGGCGCCCCCUCCGGCUGCGGCGGAGACACCUCCCGCGGCCGCCACCCCAGAGAGAUCCCCGGCGCCCCCUCCGGCUGUGCCGGAGACCACUCCCGCUGCCGCCCCGCCAGAGACCUCUCCGGCGCGCGCUCCGGUUGUGGCGGCGACCCCUCCCGAGUCGUCGGAGGCUAGUGUUACGGUUGCGGAGGAUGGUGGCGGGAAGGACAAGAUGGCGGUGGAGGAUCUCGGUGAGGUGGAGCGUGAGGAGGCCACCGGGGCGGAGUCCGUAGAGGAGGAGCCCGAGGAGGAGGAGCCGGAGGAGGUGGAGGAGUCGGAGGAGGUGGAGGNNNNNNNNNNNNNNNNNGAGGAGGAGGAGGAGGAGGAGGACCCUGAUGGGGAGGAUGAUCCCGAGGAAGCGGAGGAGGAUGCUGAGGACGUGGAGGAGGAUCCUGAGGACCCAGAGGAGGAAGCCGACGCAGUCGAGGAUGAUGAGGAGGAUACGGUGCUGGCGGCUGGGUCGGAGAAGACGGUGACUGUGGAGGGCGGUGCUGAGGAGGAAGCGAUGGUGACCAUAUCCAAGGAGGGCGGCGGUGAAGUUACGGGGUUAGAGUCUGCCGUGGUAGAGGAGCCCGAGGAGGCUGCUAAUGUGGAUGAGGGACAAGAAGAGGCAGAAGAGGAGGAAGCUGAAGAGGAUGCAAUGGAAGAGGAUGCUACAGAGGUCCCGGGAGAUGGCGCCACCCCAGAUGACAUGAAUGAACUAUCUGAAGAAGAACAUGAAGAAUCUGGGCAUGAAGGUACACAUGGGAAUAACAACGAGGGUGGUGUUGCCUGCCAGUUGAGUGUCCAUUCUGAGGCGCAGAAUGGUCAACUUGACUCCUCAUUGCCUACACUAGGUUCAGUUUCAGUGGGCAAUACUAAAGACUUGCAAGUAUUUCUUCAUGGAUUGCCUAAGGAUUGUGCUGAGAAAGACAUUACAGAGGUCUUUUCUCAAUUCGGAGAGAUUGAAUCUAUUAAAACAAUUAGAAAAAAGAACAGCAUUGCAUUCGUUCGUUAUAUGAGCACUGAAGCUGCAAAGAAGGCUCUUGCCGAAUUUAAGGAGGGAGCUGAGGUGACAGGGGGAAGGGUUAAAGUAUCAGCUUCUAGAGGUGAUAAUACCCUUUACCUUAGCAACAUCUGCAAAAGCUGGACAAAAGAGCAGGUGCGAACUUCCUUGAGAAGUAUCGGAAUCGAUGGAUUUGAUAUGAGUUUACCCGUUGAUCCUGAAACUGGAGGACAAAACCGAGGGAUUACUUUUCUCAAAUUUGCUUCGCCUGACAACGCCAAAGCUGCAUCUCAGCUGCUACAGCAACCAGAUGCAUUGAUUACCAUUGUUAAAAGUGUGAAGGAAUCUGCUCAAAUCCCUACAGAAUCAAGCCUGGAGCUUGCUAUGCUGCAGGUUAAAACAGUAUACCUCGAACAUGUUCCUCUUUCUUGGGAUAAGGGCAAAGUUAAAGAAUGUUGCAAAGCAUAUGGGGUGAUUCAGGAUGUUCACAUUUUAAAGAAGUCAAAAACGAAAACUUCUUUUGUUGAAUUCUCAUCCAGGAAGAGUGCAUUAGCUUGUGUGGAAGGAAUAAACAGUGCCAAUAUUGGUGGUGAAGUUAAGCUGGCUGCAAGUCUUGCUCGACCACGUCGGGAAACACAACUGGACAAGAAGAGUGCUAAAGGUGGGGUCAAGGUCAAUAGUGAUGCAACUUCCAAAGACACCAACAAUUCUAUUAAGAAAAAGAACCAGAAUAGGGAGGUCAGAGUGAAGAAGGAUUCACCACAUAAAUUGCGAAAAGGUGAUGUGAGCAAGCUGACCUCACAUGUUGAUGCGAAAGUACCACAAUCAUCCAACCCAUCUAAAGGCAAACGGAAAGCUGGAAAGACUGAAAAUACCGCUGUAAAUGAAAGGGCACCGAAGAGAGCACGGAAGAAUCGUGGUGUUCUGACAAAACCUUCCAACAGAACAUCUCAUGGUGGUCAUGCUAGAGUUCCCUAUGCAGGAGAAUCUUCUGGAAACAUUAAGCGCCCUGUGGGACCUCAAUAUGUAACUGGCAACCAAUCUUACCCCAUUGCGGGCGCAUCUUCCAGAUCUAAACCAAAUGCUCGUGACCUGGAACCUCAUGCUGGAUACAUCCCUCCUACAAAUCGUGUUCGUGCACCUGCAAAUCAUGUUCCAGUCACCUAUGUUUAUGAUCAUCCGAGAAGCGCACCAUCCACUAUCCAUCACAUUGACGGUCUUCCUUAUGCUAGAGAAAUAGCAGCUCCACCACCAGCCUAUGGGUACACAAGCAAUCCUCAAUACCAGGAUGGAUAUGCAUACGCCUACCACCCCCCGCCUCAUCCAAGUGGAUCUUACCACUACCCAGGAACCGGCGCAUAUAGCCCUCGAAGGAGAUACUACUGA
rnacentral:rRNA from 1 species